rnacentral:rRNA from 1 species
AGCAGCCGCGGUAAUUCCAGCUCCAAUAGCGUAUAUUAAAGUUGUGCAGUUAAAAAGCUCGUAGUUGAAUUUCGGGGUCAGUAGGUUGGUCAUGCCACUGGUAUGUACUGGCUUCACUGAUUCCUCCUUCCUGAUGAGCCGUAAUGCCAUUAAUUUGGUGUUGCGAGGAAUCUGGACUGUUACUUUGAAAAAAUUAGAGUGUUUAAAGCAGGCUAACGCUUGAAUACAUUAGCAUGGAAUAAUGAAAUAGGACGUUCGAUCUUAUUUUGUUGGUUUCUAAGAUUGACGUAAUGAUUAAUAGGGAUAGUUGGGGGCAUUAGUAUUCAAUUGUCAGAGGUGAAAUUCUUGGAUUUAUUGAAGACUAACUACUGCGAAAGCAUUUGCCAAGGAUGUUUUCAUUAAUCAAGAACGAAAGUUAGGGGAUCGAAGACGAUCAGAUACCGUCGUAGUCUUAACCAUAAACUAUGCCGACUAGGGAUCGGAUGAUGU